rnacentral:rRNA from 1 species
GAUGAACGCUGGCGGCGUGCCUAAUACAUGCAAGUCGAGCGAACAGACGAGGAUCUUGCUCCUCUGACGUUAGCGGCGGACGGGUGAGUAACACGUGGAUAACCUACCUAUAAGACUGGGAUAACUUCGGGAAACCGGAGCUAAUACCGGAUAAUAUAUUGAACCGCAUGGUUCAAUAGUGAAAGACGGUUUUGCUGUCACUUAUAGAUGGAUCCGCGCCGCAUUAGCUAGUUGGUAAGGUAACGGCUUACCAAGGCAACGAUGCGUAGCCGACCUGAGAGGGUGGUCGGCCACACUGGAACUGAGACACGGUCCAGACUCCUACGGGAGGCAGCAGUAGGGAAUCUGCCGCAAUGGGCGAAAGCCUGACGGAGCAACGCCGCGUGAGUGAUGAAGGUCUUCGGAUCGUAAAACUCUGUUAUUAGGGAAGAACAAAUGUGUAAGUAACUAUGCACGUCUUGACGGUACCUAAUCAGAAAGCCACGGCUAACUACGUG